CACGACCCCCCCCGUCCGCCAGAAAAUUACGAGCAAGACCUCCCCUUUAGCCUAAAACUCAAAAGACUUGACGGUGUCCCAAUCUACCUAGAGGAGCCUGUUACAUAAUCGAUAACCCACGAUCAACCCAACCACCCCUCGAAUAUAACAUCAGCCUAUAUACCGCCGUCACCAGCCCACCUUAAAAGAAAUAAAGUAGGCACAAUAGUCUAUUACUAAUACGUCAGGUCAAGGUGUAGCCCAUGAGGUGGUGCCAAUGGGCUACAUUAUCUCCCACAGAUCACCCACGAACUAUUUUUUGAUAUAAUUAUACAAAGGCGGAUUUAGCAGUAAACUAGGUCAGAAUACUUAAUUUAACACCUGCGCUGGGACA
rnacentral:rRNA from 1 species